GUUGGGAAAUGAUGUGAAGUUACCCUAGAUAUCAAAGGCACUAGCUAUGCUGAAUGUCUUUAUUUGCACGUCAGUCUGAUCCCAUA
rnacentral:snoRNA from 1 species